ensembl:lncRNA
AUGCUUCAGUCCAUGGGGUUUCAAAGAGUUGCACAUGACUUAGCAACUAAACAACAACACACUUUACAUGGUCAGUGGGCAGACACGUGGACUCCUGCUUGGAUGUGGAUUUCCAGGGACCACUCGGCGUUCUUGGUACCAGGAAUCGGAACCACCAGUCUGGCUGUCACAGCCAAGUUUGGCCAGCCUGGCUUUAGCUGCUCACCCACUCUGGCUUCCCUGGUGGCUCAGAAGGUAAAGAAUCUGCCUGCAAUGUGGGAGACCCAGGUUCGAUCCCUGGGUCAGGAAGAUCCCUGGAGACGGGAAUGGCUACCCACUCCAGUAUUCUGGCCUGCAGAAUUCCAUGGACAGAGGAGCCUGGCGGGCUGCAAUCCAUGUGUUGCAAAGAGUCAGACAUGA